rnacentral:rRNA from 1 species
AAGGCUCCCGGUAGACGACCGGGUUGAUAGGCCGGAGGUGGAAGCGCAGUAAUGUGUGGAGCUGACCGGUACUAAUAGGCCGAGGACUUGACCAU